ensembl:snRNA U4 U4 spliceosomal RNA
AGCUUUGUGCAGUGGCAGUAUCAUAGCCAAUGAGGUUUAACCAAGGUGCGAUUAUUGCUAAUUGAAAAUGUGUGGGAUGCAACCAAGGGGAAAUUUUAUAUCUCUAAGACCUACUUCCAUAAAAUAGA